rnacentral:rRNA from 1 species
GUUGUAUAGUUAAGUGACUAAGCGUACAAGGUGGAUGCCUUGGCAAUCAGAGGCGAAGAAGGACGUGCUAAUCUGCGAAAAGCUUGGAUGAGUCGAUAAGAGGCGUUUAAUCCAAGAUAUCCGAAUGGGGAAACCCAGUAGAUGAAGAAUCUACUAUCAACAAGUGAAUUCAUAGCUUGUUGAGGCAAACCGGGAGAACUGAAACAUCUAAGUACCCCGAGGAAAAGAAAUCAACCGAGAUUUCGUCAGUAGCGGCGAGCGAAAGCGAAAGAGCCAGUAAGUGAUAGCAGUAUAGUGAGGAGAAUGUGUUGGGAAGCACAAUCAAAGAGGGUGAUAAUCCCGUAUCUAAAAACCAUAUUGUGGUACUAAGCUAACGAGAAGUAGGGCGGGACACGUGAUAUCCUGUUUGAAGAAGGGGGGACCAUCCUCCAAGGCUAAAUACUCC